ACUCCUACGGGAGGCAGCAGUGGGGAAUAUUGCACAAUGGGCGCAAGCCUGAUGCAGCCAUGCCGCGUGUAUGAAGAAGGCCUUCGGGUUGUAAAGUACUUUCAGCAGUGAGGAAGGUGGGUAUGUUAAUAGCAUAUUCAUUUGACGUUAGCUGCAGAAGAAGCACCGGCUAACUCCGUGCCAGCAGCCGCGGUAAUACGGAGGGUGCGAGCGUUAAUCGGAAUUACUGGGCGUAAAGCGCAUGCAGGUGGUUUGUUAAGUCAGAUGUGAAAGCCCGGGGCUCAACCUCGGAAUUGCAUUUGAAACUGGCAAACUAGAGUACUGUAGAGGGGGGUAGAAUUUCAGGUGUAGCGGUGAAAUGCGUAGAGAUCUGAAGGAAUACCGGUGGCGAAGGCGGCCCCCUGGACAGAUACUGACACUCAGAUAGCGAAAGCGUGGGGAGCAAACAGGAUUAGAUACCCUGGUAGGCUCAGC
rnacentral:rRNA from 1 species